UUAAAUCUAUACCGAUUUCAUUAUUAUUAUCUUAAAUUCCUAAUUCAGUCUCACAUACGUACCCACCUUAUUCUCCUUCGGUAAGCUAGUAAGCUAGCAACAUAGCUCAAACAUGGCUUCCAUUUUCAUUUUCCUGUGCUGCUAGCACACUCACGCACAAGAAAAAGCUUUGCUCUCCACGAACUCAAUCACCACAUUGUGUCAUUCCCUCUCAGUAGAAACCCAAUUCAAAACGGUUUCCUUCAUCCAAAUGAACAUGCAUGGCUCAAUUUGUCUCCUCUUUUUCUCAAGCUAGUCAAAGCCUCACAUCUCCACUAGUCUGAUUUUCCUUCGAGUGAACAGGCGAGAAGGAUCAUAGGAGGGUCAUAGUGGUUGGGCAGAUGGCUGUUAGACACAGCUACAAAGGGCAGUGUGUUGUCAUAUAUAUAUUUUGCUUGUGUUUUGUUCUGUUUUGUAUAGUCUGUUUGUGGGAGCCUAAUGUUCUAGACUUAUCCUCUUCCUUGUUGUAAAUAUUCUUGACUUAUAUAGCGGUAUUCACAUCCCUUCCUUUUGAAAAACUUAUAUCUCCCAAAUUUGUAUAGUUGAUGUUUUUAGUACUCGCGAAUAGUAAACUGCUUUGUACUUGGACUUUCUCCUACCAUAUUCUCUCUUAUAUAGAUAUGUCCUACUUUGUAUGAUCCUCAAUCAAAUAUCCAAGAUUUUGAAUGA